AGAUAAAGUAGUUGAGCUAAUAGACAAUAUGAGUCUCUUCUUCCUGAGUCUCAGAAGGAAAUAAUUCUGCAGUAGGAGCCUUGGGAGAGAGAGAGCUAUAAAAACAGGUUCUGCUCUGAUGGGCAGACAUGGGGAGAGAGACUAUAUAAUUUUGUACAUUGAAUGAGGCUAAUUCAAAUAGUGUUAAUUGUCCCUCCACCACCAGUCAAGGUGAUGCCUUGAGACUCAGCACAACUCCGCUGGAUCUCCCCUGCCUGGAAUUGAAAGUGUUAGAAGCUGAAUGAUGUUUCAGGAGAAACAAUGAUCUUUGAUUUAGCUGUGUACUCCAUCCAUCCCAGCAUACCUUGGAGCCAGGGGCAGGAAAGCAAAGAAGGGGACAGGUUUGGCCACAUCUCUGAGGACAGAGUCUGUCUAUUCCGACACAUAAAAUGAAGUCAGAAAGACUACUGACAUGACUUACAAAGGAGAUGCCCUGAAACUGGUGCUGGAAACUUGGUCCCUCAUCCAUCAAAAGCAAUAAAGGGAUUCAAGAUGGAGAGGCUGGGCAGUGGGAGAUAGAUUCUUCAGAGC
rnacentral:lncRNA from 1 species